GAUGAACGCUGACAGAAUGCUUAACACAUGCAAGUCAACUGUGGCGGACGGGUGAGUAACGCGUAAAGAACUUGCCUCACAGUUAGGGACCACAUUUGGAAACGAAUGCUAAUACCUGAUACUGUGAGAGAGCUUUGCGUCCCAUUAGCUAGUUGGAGAGGUAACGGCUCACCAAGGCGAGGAUGGGUAGCCGGCCUGAGAGGGUGAUCGGCCACAAGGGGACAGGGACACGGCCCUUACUCCUACGUGAGGCAGCAGUGGGGACUAUUUGAAAAUGGACCAAAGUCUGAUGAAGCAAUUCUGUUUGUACGAUGAAGUUUUCGGAAUGUAAAGUGCUUUCAGUUGGGAAGCGGUACCAACAGAAGAAGUGACGGCUAAAUACGUGCCAGCAGCCGCGGUAAUAC
rnacentral:rRNA from 1 species